UACGGAGGGGGCUAGCGUUGUUCGGAAUUACUGGGCGUAAAGCGCGCGUAGGCGGACCUGCAAGUCGGAGGUGAAAUCCCAAGGCUCAACCUUGGAACUGCCUUUGAUACUGAAGAUCUUGAGUUCGGGAGAGGUGAGUGGAACUGCGAGUGUAGAGGUGAAAUUCGUAGAUAUUCGCAAGAACACCAGUGGCGAAGGCGGCUCACUGGCCCGAUACUGACGCUGAGGCACGAAAGCGUGGGGAGCAAACAGGG
rnacentral:rRNA from 1 species